AUACGUAGGGUGCAAGCGUUAAUCGGAAUUACUGGGCGUAAAGCGUGCGCAGGCGGUUUUGUAAGACAGUGGUGAAAUCCCCGGGCUCAACCUGGGAACUGCCAUUGUGACUGCAAGGCUGGAGUGCGGCAGAGGGGGAUGGAAUUCCGCGUGUAGCAGUGAAAUGCGUAGAUAUGCGGAGGAACACCGAUGGCGAAGGCAAUCCCCUGGGCCUGCACUGACGCUCAUGCACGAAAGCGUGGGGAGCAAACAGGAUUAGAUUCCCUGGUAGUCCACGCCCUAAACGAUGUCAACUGGUUGUUGGGGAUUUAUUUUCUCAGUAACGAAGCUAACGCGUGAAGUUGACCGCCUGGGGAGUACGGCCGCAAGGUUAAAACUCAAAGGAAUUGACGGGG
rnacentral:rRNA from 1 species